rnacentral:rRNA from 1 species
GGCAGGCCUAACACAUGCAAGUCGAGCGGUAGCACAGAGAGCUUGCUCUCGGGUGACGAGCGGCGGACGGGUGAGUAAUGUCUGGGAAACUGCCUGAUGGAGGGGGAUAACUACUGGAAACGGUAGCUAAUACCGCAUAACGUCGCAAGACCAAAGUGGGGGACCUUCGGGCCUCAUGCCAUCAGAUGUGCCCAGAUGGGAUUAGCUAGUAGGUGGGGUAACGGCUCACCUAGGCGACGAUCCCUAGCUGGUCUGAGAGGAUGACCAGCCACACUGGAACUGAGACACGGUCCAGACUCCUACGGGAGGCAGCAGUGGGGAAUAUUGCACAAUGGGCGCAAGCCUGAUGCAGCCAUGCCGCGUGUGUGAAGAAGGCCUUCGGGUUGUAAAGCACUUUCAGCGGGGAGGAAGGCGAUAAGGUUAAUAACCUUGUCGAUUGACGUUACCCGCAGAAGAAGCACCGGCUAACUCCGUGCCAGCAGCCGCGGUAAUACGGAGGGUGCAAGCGUUAAUCGGAAUUACUGGGCGUAAAGCGCACGCAGGCGGUCUGUCAAGUCGGAUGUGAAAUCCCCGGGCUUAACCUGGGAACUGCAUUCGAAACUGGCAGGCUAGAGUCUUGUAGAGGGGGGUAGAAUUCCAGGUGUAGCGGUGAAAUGCGUAGAGAUCUGGAGGAAUACCGGUGGCGAAAGCGGCCCCCUGGACAAAGACUGACGCUCAGGUGCGAAAGCGUGGGGAGCAAACAGGAUUAGAUACCCUGGUAGUCCACGCCGUAAACGAUGUCGAUUUGGAGGUUGUGCCCUUGAGGCGUGGCUUCCGGAGCUAACGCGUUAAAUCGACCGCCUGGGGAGUACGGCCGCAAGGUUAAAACUCAAAUGAAUUGACGGGGGCCCGCACAAGCGGUGGAGCAUGUGGUUUAAUUCGAUGCAACGCGAAGAACCUUACCUGGUCUUGACAUCCACAGAACUUUCCAGAGAUGGAUUGGUGCCUUCGGGAACUGUGAGACAGGUGCUGCAUGGCUGUCGUCAGCUCGUGUUGUGAAAUGUUGGGUUAAGUCCCGCAACGAGCGCAACCCUUAUCCUUUGUUGCCAGCGGUCCGGCCGGGAACUCAAAGGAGACUGCCAGUGAUAAACUGGAGGAAGGUGGGGAUGACGUCAAGUCAUCAUGGCCCUUACGACCAGGGCUACACACGUGCUACAAUGGCAUAUACAAAGAGAAGCGACCUCGCGAGAGCAAGCGGACCUCAUAAAGUAUGUCGUAGUCCGGAUUGGAGUCUGCAACUCGACUCCAUGAAGUCGGAAUCGCUAGUAAUCGUAGAUCAGAAUGCUACGGUGAAUACGUUCCCGGGCCUUGUACACACCGCCCGUCACACCAUGGGAGUGGGUUGCAAAAGAAGUAGGUAGCUUAACCUUCGGGAGGGCGCUUACCACUUUGUGAUUCAUGACUGGGGAGAAGUCGUAACAAGG